ACCGUAAAAUAAAUACCGAGUUCUCAGUUUUCGACUAACAUACGUGACGCUUGGUGAUACGCCAUAUUUGUUGGUUGAAUCGUUUUUUCAAGACAAGUCUUUCGUCGUUUUUUUCAAGGUUCAACAAAAAUGUUUCUGACUUCAUUUCGUUCGUCGGUUUUAGAAUUAUCAUUAGCCUGCAUGGAAAUGCAUAACAAUUAUCAGCGCUGUCCCCGAGGUUGUGGCAUAGCGCUAGCCCUUCUUGUGAACCGGAAACAGCGAAAACAUGAGUGAAACAAGUUUGCGGCAAUUAUUAUUAUUCAAACAUGAAGUGUAAUGAAAUUAUACGAAAUAAACGACAUAAAUUUUGAUAAUAGUA